rnacentral:rRNA from 1 species
GACGAACGCUGGCGGCGUGCCUAAUACAUGCAAGUCGAACGCAGUGGGGACGGGUGAGUAACACGUGGGUAACCUCCCAUCAGAGGGGAUAACACUUGGAAACUGGUGCUAAACCGAUACUGAUGGAUGGAGCCGGGGUGCAUUAGCUAGUUGGGGAGGUAACGGCGCACCAAGGCCACGAUGCAUAGCCGGCCUGAGAGGGUGAUCGGUCACACUGGAACUGAGACACGGUCCAGACUCCUACGGGAGGCAGCAGUAGGGAAUCUUCGGCAAUGGACGAAAGUCUGACCGAGCAACGCCGCGUGAGUGAAGAAGGUUUUCGGAUCGUAAAACUCUGUAGUUAGGGAGGCGGUAUCUACCCAGAAAGCAACGGCUAACUACGUGCCAGCCGCCGCGGUAAUUC